CGCACCGCCCGUCACACCAUGAGAGUUGGCAAUACCCAAAGUCCGUGAGGCAACCGCAAGGAGCCAGCGGCCUAAGGUAGGGUCAGCGAUUGGGGUG
rnacentral:rRNA from 1 species